UACGUAGGCGGAAAAUUAAGUCAGUAGUGAAAUCCUGCAGCUUAACUGUAGAACUGUUAUUGAUACUGGUUUUCUUGAAUAUAGUUGAGGUAGGCGGAAUGUGUAAUGUAGCGGUGAAAUGCUUAGAUAUUACACAGAACGCCGAUUGCGAAGGCAGCUUACUAAGCUAUGAUUGACGCUGAGGUACGAAAGCGUGGGGAGCGAACAGGAUUAGAUACCCUGGUAGUC
rnacentral:rRNA from 1 species